UGGCUCAGUGGUUAAGAGCAUUGGCUGCUCUUCCAGAGGACCUGGGUUCAAUUCCCAG
rfam:Neotoma lepida isolate 417 scaffold_2186, whole genome shotgun sequence.